GGGAAGGGACAGCUGGGGAGCGCCACAAGUAAGGAUGAGAUGCUGCUCCGGGCCAGGUGAUUUGGGUCGCAAGAAACAGAAAUCCUCUCAAAGACAAGACACCAAGGCCAGACUAGCGCACAGGCCAACAAGAUUUGUGCUGAGUGGGUGAAGAGUGGGCCUGCACUACUGCAAGUCUCUGGAAGAAGAGAUUAGCAGCAUCCACCGCCCCUGUGAAUGCUGUCUUCACGUCUGUUAUUUAUGAAUGUGCUCCGAGUGACUUGUGAACCACCCAAAGAUGAAAUCCAGAGGUGGAUCCAAGAAGAAAAAAGCUACUGUUGCCUCACUUAUGACACAAACAAUAUUGUCUAGUGUGUGAUGUUUGUCCUCAGUCUCUUCUCCUUCCCGUUUCUGAGUCUCCCUGUAAAUAUCCAGCUAAUCUCAGCACACUAGGAGUCACCAGCCUUCCAAAUGCCCUCGUCAGGCACACCCUUGAGACCUACUCUCUGCAGGCAGCUCCUAAAUCCCUCCUCUUCCCCACCUGUGUCCUAUCAACACGGAUGCAGAGGGAGCAUCAGGUCCUAAGCAUACAGAUCCCCCCCUUUCCCACGGCAAUUUCUGAUUUAACCUAUAAAAUGAGGGGCAGGGGGAGAGACGCUUUUCUGUGCUCUUUAAUUUCCAGUAUGUAAUAAAUUUUGCCUGUUUAAAUUAAUCCUUUAAUAAAUGAACAAAUGACUGAAUGAAUCUUCAGGACAUGCAACAAUACCGUUUUAUUAAAACUUAAUUUGGAAUCUAUGUAAUAGCAGAGAAAGAGAAAGAACAAAAGAAAGUGAAAGAAAAGGAAAAAAGAGAGAGAGAAGCCAGAAAACAACAAUGGCAGUGAGCAUCUGGUGUAUUCUCCAGGCACCAGCCUGGAUGCUGGCGCUAUGAGGAAGGCUCUUCUCCCAGGACAAGCAAGGCGAAUUCGUGGUGGGGAGAGGGAGAAAGCAGCAUAAGACAUCGUAAUGUUUCCGCACCUGUGUUUAUGUUAGUUAGAACUUGCCUUUGUGAAGAAUGAUGACACCACCAACAGAGGAGUUUCUGGGAUGAGACAAUUGCCCCAAAGAUUCAUUGUUUUAGCUGUGGAGGGUAUCAGUUUUAUUUGUCCCCUGACAUCUUGCACUACCUUGGGACUAAGGCACCAUGGGUGGCCUUGACUCACCUGAUGACAUAAUGCCUAGAGGAGUUCCCUCCAAUAAAGCCC